AUAGCUCAGUUGGUAGAGCACGACCUUGCAAUGGUCGGGGUCGCGAGUUCGAGUCUCGUUUCCCGCUCCA
rnacentral:tRNA from 1 species